AACGAACGCUGGCGGCGUGGAUAAGACAUGCAAGUCGAACGGGACAGACCGAGUAGCAAUAUUUGGAAUGUUCAGUGGCGAACGGGUGCGUAACACGUGGAUAACAUUCCGGAAAGCGGGGAAUAGCCCAGGGAAACUUGGAUUAAUACCGCAUGUGGCCGCAAGGCUAAAGACGGGGACCGCAAGGCCUGUCACUUUCCGAUUGGUCCGCGGCCUAUCAGCUAGUUGGCGGGGUAAUGGCCCACCAAGGCUACGACGGGUAGCUGGUCUUAGAGGACGACCAGCCACACUGGAACGAAGACACGGUCCAGACACCUACGGGUGGCAGCAGUCGAGAAUCUUUCACAAUGGGGGCAACCCUGAUGGAGCGACGCCGCGUGGAGGAUAAGGUCUUCGGAUUGUAAACUCCUGUCAUGCGAGAACAAGGUACUCAGGCUAAUAACCUGAUUGUUUGAUGGUACCGCAAGAGGAAGAGACGGCUAACUCUGUGCCAGCCGCCGCCGUAAAAC
rnacentral:rRNA from 1 species